CUACAAGGACUCAAAUAUAAAAGUACGGAGUUCUUCUCAGGCCAUAUUUAGUUUGCUUUAACAGACUUAUUAAUAAUUUUUCCUGGGUUUCAGUUUCUUUGUCAUUAAUAUGAUAAGAUGGACUAGAUACUGUGCAAGGCUUCACCCAGCUUCAAGUUUUUGUCAAUACUAACUUCAGUAUUUGCCUAUGAGAAAUAAUUCUGGCAGCAUUAUUACUUGAAAUAUUUUGCAUGAAAUAUACAAAAAAAUUACUUCUGGGAAUAUAUUUGAAUUAUAUGAAGCUGUUUGCAAAAUCGUAUUUUAAUUUAGCUGUCAAUAAAUUUCGUAUCAUUAUUUAUUUCUUUUUCAAUUCGCCAAAUGUAUUAUUAUUUGGAAAAUUAUACUUGAAGAAUACUAGACUAAUCAAGUGUAUACUCAGGUUCAUGGCUGAGACAUCUGUGAAAAGAAAAUAAAUCUUGGGACCCCAAAAUCACGAAGCCAAAGGGAAAAGCCAACCUGGGAACUGCUUAGGGCAAACCUGCCUUCCAUUCUAUUUUUUAAAAAGAUAGCUACUAAGAUUUAAAAGCUACAUACCUCCCUCAUAAAGAACUUCCUUGUGGGCAAAGGACAGACAGAACUCAGAGUCAUUCCUUUACUGACAUAAAUGCCUAUCUGACUGCCUCCUUUGGAAAGGCUAUUCAGAAACUCAAAAUAAUGCAACCGUUUGUCUCUUACCUACCUAUGACCUGGAAGUCCCAUCCCCACUUCAAGUUGUUCUGCCUUUCCAGUUCGAACCACUGUACAUCUUACGUAUACUGGUUGAUGUCUCAUGUCUCCCU
rnacentral:lncRNA from 10 species